AGUGAACGUUGGCGGCGUGGAUUAGGCAUGCAAGUCGCGCGAGAACCGUAGCAAUACGGGGACAGCGGCGCAAGGGACAGUAAUGUGUAGGUACCUACCCCGAGGUCUGGGAUAGCUGCGGGAAACUGCAGGUAAUACCGGAUAAUGUCUUCGGACCAAAGGUGCGAUUCCACCUUGGGAGGGGCCUGCAUCCUAUUAGCUAGUUGGCGGGGUAAUGGCCCACCAAGGCGACAAUGGGUAGCGGGUGUGAGAGCACGACCCGCGUCAUUGGGACUGAGACACUGCCCAGACACCUACGGGUGGCUGCAGUCGAGGAUCUUCGGCAAUGGGCGAAAGCCUGACCGAGCGACGCCGCGUGCGGGAUGAAGGCCUUCGGGUUGUAAACCGCUGUCGUAGAGGAGGAAAUGCAGGUGGGUUCUCCCAUCUGUUUGACCUAUUCUAGGAGGAAGUACGGGCUAAGUUCGUGCCAGCCGCCGCGGUAA
rnacentral:rRNA from 1 species